rnacentral:antisense_RNA from 1 species
AAAGGAUAAAGAAAAUUGGGGCUGAAGUUCGCUGCUCACCUCCCAACAGAGAUUGAGCAG